rnacentral:rRNA from 1 species
UACGUAGGUGGCAAGCGUUGUCCGGAUUUACUGGGCGUAAAGAGCGCGCAGGCGGUCGAUCAAGUCGCGUGUGAAAGCCCCCGGCUCAACUGGGGAGGGUCACGCGAUACUGAUCGACUCGAAGGCAGGAGAGGGUAGUGGAAUUCCAGGUGUAGCGGUGAAAUGCGUAGAGAUCUGGAGGAACACCGAUGGCGAAGGCAGCCUUCUGGGCCAACACUGACGCUCAUGCACGAAAGCGUGGGGAGCAAACGG